rnacentral:misc_RNA from 1 species
UCUCCGUUGGUGAACCAGCGGAGGGAUCAUUGCUGGAACAAACGCCCUCACGGGUGCUACCCAGAAACCCUUUGUGAAUCAUACCUAAAACUGUUGCCUCGGCAUGGUUGGUUUCUUCUAGAAGCCCCUCCCUAAAAAAGAGGAGAAGACCGGCCGGUGGCCCUAUAAACUCUUUGUUUUUGUAAAUCUUCUGAGUAAAACAACAAAAAAAUGAAUCAAAACUUUCAACAACGGAUCUCUUGGUUCUGGCAUCGAUGAAGAACGCAGC